AGUUUGUUAUUAUGUCUCUUAGCU
rnacentral:snRNA from 1 species